CUUUCCGCCCGGCGUCUCGCGCAUGCGCGGAGAGGAAAGCGGUAGCGAAGUCGGAGGCUUUUUGCCGAGUUUCUGUGAGAAGUUUCUGGAAAGACGGAGCCAAAGGGACGCUGCGGGGUGGGGAGCGCAAGGAAGCAAGCGUUUGAAAGAAAACGAAAAACCCCAAGCACACCGCCACACCUCCAACCUUCGAGCCACGGCCCAGAGCCCAAGUCCACUGAGACCCUCACGCCUGGGAAAAAGCAUAGGGACCGCGGCAGCCGCUCCUCCCUCUGCCACUGCUUAGCCCCCGAGAUUCCUCAGCAUGGGGAGAGGGCAGGGGGUAGCCAUGAGAAGCGUAGAGCGCCCACUGGACGUUUGCGAGGUGGAAAGAAAGCCGAAACCCACCCUUUGGAGCCGCCUCCGCGCACGGGCCCCCUCGAGUGGGCUCAGUACGUUAGGACUCAACGUGGCCGCCGAAGCAUUGGGUUGGGGGCGUCUUUCACUAAAUUUUUCUAGGUUUUCCCUCCUCUCGGGCUCUGUGGUCCCUUCCCCGCCCGUCUUCACUUUGGUGGCCUGACGCUAACGCUGCGAGUGUGGGGAAACCGUAGUAACCCCGAGUCUGAGGGGCGCCCUGGGCAGCGGUGUUCCGUCGCUUCCAGCCGUUUCCCCUUUUAAGGAAAGCCACCGAGAAGGGCCCGUGUGGCCGAGUAAAGGUAGCGUGCGCCCGCACAAAGGCGCCGCGUUGUUGGCGGCCCCGGACGCGGUCGCAGGUGACGCCGGGCGCCCUGGGCGGGGCGGCGUGGGAAGACCGGGGCGCCUGGGCGGGUAGAACGACGUUGGCGCUCGCGGGGCCGGGCUGGGGGAGGAAGCCACGGCAUCUAGCAGGUGCCUCUCCGCGGCCGAGCGACUGCCAUUUUGUGGUGCGGUCGCCGCCAUUUCGCGCGGCCGAGGGGCGGGGUAUGGGCGGAACGGCGGGCGCGCCCGGGCCUUCCCCCGGGGCGGCAGGCGAACGCGGCCCCUUUGUUCUUUCCUUCUUGGCUUGAGGCCCCAGUCUCGACCGCUAACUGCCUCGAAACCGGGCUGCGCUCGAGUGGCCAUGCGGCGUGUGAACCUUGAAGCGCGGCCGGGGCGUCCGCAAGGCGGACUCUUCCGCCCUGCAAGCCCUUCGAAAGUGAGAUUUCUCACCCCACCCUUGCAGGAAAACGUUUUAAAGUGGGGAUGCCUAGAACUCAGCCGUGGGAAGUGGCUGUGUAAAGCCUUGUGCUGGUGCCAGUAGCAGACCCGUGCGCGUGCUGGGCUUUGAGCGAUCAUGGCGUUCUGCAAAUAGCUCAACUGCAGAGCGUGCCCCUUAGAGCUUCCUGUGCUGCCGGGAGGCCUCACAAAGGUGCUAAAACCCGGUGUCCCCAGAGGUUGGCUUCUUU